CGGAAUCACUGGGCUUAAAGCGUGUGUAGGUGGAUGCCUAAGUACCUUGUGAAAUCCCACGGCUUAACCGUGGAACUGCUUGGUAUACUGGGUGUCUUGAGCCAGCUAGGGGCUACCGGAACAAAUGGUGGAGCGGUGAAAUGCGUAGAUAUCAUUUGGAACGCCAAUGGUGAAAACAGGUAGCUGGGGCUGUGCUGACACUGAGACACGAAAGCCAGGGGAGCGAACGGG
rnacentral:rRNA from 1 species